AUUGAACGCUGGCGGCAGGCCUAACACAUGCAAGUCGAGCGGCAGCGGGAAGUAGCUUGCUACUUUGCCGGCGAGCGGCGGACGGGUGAGUAAUGUCUGGGAAACUGCCUGAUGGAGGGGGAUAACUACUGGAAACGGUAGCUAAUACCGCAUAAUGUCGCAAGACCAAAGAGGGGGACCUUCGGGCCUCUUGCCAUCAGAUGUGCCCAGAUGGGAUUAGCUAGUAGGUGGGGUAACGGCUCACCUAGGCGACGAUCCCUAGCUGGUCUGAGAGGAUGACCAGCCACACUGGAACUGAGACACGGUCCAGACUCCUACGGGAGGCAGCAGUGGGGAAUAUUGCACAAUGGGCGCAAGCCUGAUGCAGCCAUGCCGCGUGUAUGAAGAAGGCCUUCGGGUUGUAAAGUACUUUCAGCGGGGAGGAAGGUGUUGAGGUUAAUAACCUCAGCAAUUGACGUUACCCGCAGAAGAAGCACCGACUAACUCCGUGCCAGCCGCCGCAGUAAAAC
rnacentral:rRNA from 1 species